rnacentral:lncRNA from 1 species
AGGGUAGAAUGUAGACCCAGGAAAGUAAAUUUUGCUUGGGCCCUGGUCCGAGACUGUCAGAAAGUGCCUGGCGUGUGCCAUAAGGUAACGAGAAUGAACUGUGCCUGUUUACUACCAGGCAAGUCAGGAAAAUCGCUGGGAAGAAGAGAUGGAGGGAGAAAAGGACGAGAAGGCAAGGUGAUAACUGGCUCUGUUUGAGUGGGUUUCUGUGGUCCUUUUUCUCCCCAUCCUCUUGGGUACCUCCCAUCUGGGGCCUACGCGUCCAUCAGGGCUGUACCCUGGAGGUUGGAAAGUCCCCGCCUGUGACCCAGAGCUCUGAGGCUCUCUGCUUUGCCCUUCGAAGCCGCGGCUACAAGGUUGUUUGUUGAGCAUGCCAGCACCGUGUUGAGCCAUUUACACUCAUUCUGUCAUUUACUCUCACAGCUGUUGUUAUCCCGCGUUGCACAGAUGAGGAAACGAAGGCCGAGAGAUUAGGUUUGCCCCAUAUCGUGUAACUAGUACACAUCCGAACCAGGUCUGAUGAACCCAAAGCCUGCUUAAUUGGGGUGUGCGCCUGUCUUCUUAGGGCUUGGGAGGGUCAAGGCCUGUCUCCAUAGAUGGUCGAAAGGCCUGGAGAGACUCGUCUCUCAGGUGAACUGGGCUUGUUCAAGUGGAGAGAAAGUCUUCAGCUCUGAGUUGCAGCCGAAGUUGCUACUCUGUAGAGCUGAGCAGGCAACACUGGUUCUCCGUAAGAGCCCUCAGGCUGCUCUGGCGCCCAGGUUCUAGAUGACUGUGGAUUUUAGAAUCGGGAUCAUUCUAACAAAAUGAGAGGAGGUGUUAGCUCUGGCUUAUGGGUGCCAACCGGAACCUCCAGCAAAACUGGGAAAUAGCUCUGGGACUUGGAUAGAGCACCCUAGUGAGUGGGUCACUUUGCCCAACCAUCAGCUGUCUCUACUUCCUCCCCUCUGCCUUCUUCCCCUGCCUCGCCCAGGCAACCUGCCUACCUCAGGUUGAUAGUUUUUGGAGCAAGGUAUUAGCUUCAAACAUUGUGGGUUGAAAUCUCAGUCUAGUCUCCCGCCAACUGUGUAACCUUGAUAAAUUACGUAAUCUCUCUGAAUUUAAUUUUCUUAUAAUGAGAAUAAUAAUACCUGUUUCAGCAUUAUAUUUUCAGGUGAAAAAAGAAAUUAAGUACAUGAAGAACCAGCACAGUAUAUGAAACAAAGUAGGUGUGAAACCAUAUUUCCCCCCCCCCCAGCGCCAAGAGUUGGCAGAAUCUGGGAGUUCCCUGGUGGUCUAGUGGCUAGGACGCCACACUUUUCACCACUGUGGCCCAGGUUCAAUCCCUGGCCUGGGAACUGAGAUCCCACAUCAAAUCAAGCCACGCCAUGGCCGAAAACAAACAAACAAAAUUAGAUGUUAUACUGAACUCUUGUGGAUUUAAGUCCAGUGUUUCUUAGCCACAAAGGUUGCUGUAAACAAAAGGAAAAUAACGACUGUCUUUUUCUCCAGUGCCUGCUGAGCGGCUGACAGAGAGCAUUUUCCCUCCGUUAUUUUACUUCAUCCUCACAAGGCUCCGGUAAAGCGUAUCUGUUUUGCAAAAGAGGAAACGGAGGCUUGGCAGGAUGAAUUACCCAAAGCCCAGAGCCAGGGAUGGUGGCACCCGGAUUCAAACCCAUUUAUCUGAACUGGGUGGCCCAGCUCUUUCUGCUCUCAGUGCUGUCUCCCAGCAGAGGGCAACAAUCCCGAGAGCACGCGAGGCUCUCUGGGGACCUCUGGGGGCUGCGUUGCAGGCAUGGGCUGGUGAGGAAGGGGUCCUUGUCCAGGUGGUCCUCUCUUCAGAGGCAGCCACCUGCCUUAUGAUUUCUCUGAAGCUUCAUUCUUGCGUAACAGCGGAGAGCCUUCACACCGCGGGUUGUGAAAUGGACUCUUGUUACCAGCCAGUUUUAUGUGAGUUUGAGUAGGGCCAGCCUGCUUUUUCCUGGGACCCGGAUCUCCUGAAUCCCCUAACUAUCAAAGGUCCUGACCAACCUCGGGAGCCCAGAAGAGUGAAGGCCACCUGGAAGCCAAUGACCGUCACGAGGAGGUAAACCUUGUCCCUGACCUCAGCCAGGAGACCAUCUCUGGCUCAGUGUAAAUGGUCCAUCCCCUGUGGGCUGCUGCUGAAGAACCAAGCGCUCCCUUUUCAUGUCUGAGAGAAUGAAUCUGAAGCCUGGUACCAUUUUACAUGAAGGAGGUUUUUUGUUUUGCAUGGCCACUCCUGCAGCAUAUGGAAGUUCCCGGGCCAAGGAUAGAACCCGCUCCUCCACAGCGACCCAAGCCACUGCAGUCAGAUUCUUAACCCACUGUGCCACAGUGAGAACUCCAUGAAUGAGUUUUUUUGUUUUUGUUUUUUUGUCUUUUUGCCAUGUCUUGGGCCGCUCCCGCGGCAUAUGGAGGUUCCCAGGCUAGGGGUCGAAUUGGAGCUGUAGCCGCCCGCCUACGCCAGAGCCACAGCAACUCAAGAUCCGAGCCGUGUCUGCAACCUACACCACAGCUCACGGCAAUGCCGGAUCUUUAACCCACUAAGCAAGGGCAGGGAUCAAACCCGCAACCUCAUGGUUCCUAGUCAGAUUCGUUAACCACUGUGCCACGACGGGAACUCCCGUGAAUGAGUUUUUAAAUGCAGACUACAUGCACAUUUUUGGUUAGCUAAGACUGUGCUGUCCAUACAGUCAAAAUAUUUGGGGGAUUAGUAUUUAUAGGAGGGUCCAUUGUCUUUCCCUUAGUUUUUAGUAAUCAGGUUUUAAAAAAGAAGCCUGAGCCUGGGGAAUUUCAUGCCCCUUUGGGUGGGCAUCCUUUCCCUGGCAUCCCGUAUAGUCCAUCCUGUAUCUGUCUACCUUGGAGCCUUAGCCAGCUGAGAGGAGACUGAAGCAGUCUGGUGGGCAGGCUUGUGCUGGUUUUAAAUACCUACAUUGGGCCAUCUGGUCAGUCUACAUUUCCCAGCCUAGGAUCCUUAGGCACACUGUUUUUCCACCUUUAAAAUCCCUCCCCCAUUCUAUUCCAGCCCUCUGCAGUGUGGUCCUGCCCUUUCAGAUUCAGCCAAAACAUCACUCCCUCCAUGCUGAUUUUUCUGAUACCUGGGGUGCUCUGGUACUUCCGUAAGGUCCUUCAGCACUUUGUUCAUACAACCUUGGACACAGUCAUUCCUUGUACUUUCAUUUUUAAAUUUACAUCUCUCUAAAUCCUUGACCAUAAACCCUUCAAGGUCAUGUCCCAGGCCCCAUUCAUCUUUGCACUUUCAGGACUUUUCAUACCUUGGUACAUAAUAAAUGCUCAAUAAACAGCUGAAUGAAUGAACGAGAGACUGACCAGUCCUGUACAUUCAGAACGAGAGAUUUAAUUGUUGCUGGUAUUGCUUUCAACCACUGUGCUGUUUUCCUGGUAGUUUUGACUUUGGUCAUUUUAGUGGAUGUUCUUUUUCUCUAGGUCUCUGGGAAUAUGACUAGAAUUGACUUGAGGUAAAUUAGCUUCCUUUGGCUUUUGGAGGAGUUGGGGAGCUCUAGUCCUGCUCCCAUCAGAGAAUUCGCAGAGCUCUGAGGAAGAUGGUGAGAAAAGGAGGAUAUAGGAUGCGUCAAGUGCCCUCAGGCUCAGAUGCUGAGCCAAACUUUGGGCCUCGGUUCUUACUGCUGAUGAGGACUCAGCAGGAAGCUUCUGGCAGUGUGUCCCUAUACUCAAGGGACCCCUUUGCUUGAGGGGUUUGUAGAGUAGGCACCUCUAUUACCUUAUCUCUCAAGGGGUCUAGGGGGCUUGCUUUCUUCUACCCACAUAUCCUUGUAUGGUUGUGGCAAGUUCUUGGCAAAUGAAACUUUUCAUUUGUUUUUUCUCUGCUGCCUAGGUUUAGUGAUAAAAAGUUGAUUUCUUUCUGUGAGUUGACACUUGGUCCUUCAGAGCAGCACUCAAAUUCUGGAGAGGGGCUUACCAAGAUAUGCUUGUCUGGUAGGAGGUAAAAGUCAGAAGUGGCACCAUCUCUCCCUUGAAAUUUUACCAGGGAGCUUUCUAGGAGCCUCUCCGGCACCUUGGUCAACACUUUUGCAUGGCUGGUGGUCAGAGUCAGUGAGUCCCUCGGGUAUGAAAGGAAACAAUUCUCGACAUUAAUGAACCAUACUCUGGGGACACCUGGGGCCAGAAUCACUCACUUUAGCACUCCUGGGUCAUUCAGCUGUCAGAUGAUUCAGGCCAUGGCUGGAUGCUGUAUAAGCCACAAAGGUGACUCUGGAGAUCUUCCCAAGUUUUGGUGGAAAAUUUGGCCAGGAGGCCUAGGGAAUUAGAACCUGAUCCAGCCGUUAGCAUGGGUUCACUAGCCACCUCUCCUUCACUCCAUUUCAGCCUUGUUGCUUCUCCAAUAAAGAUGAUUCCUGCCCUAAAGUUGCUUACAGUCUAUCAGGGUUCACAGCAUGUCCAUUGCCAGGAAAGCUCUGGACACCAAGUCAGUGGGUUAUGAUCACAAAGAGUCAGGCAGUGAUCCAGGGUGAUGAAGGAAGGCUUCAGGAAUACAAGCCUGGCCAUGAGCAAUGAUCUGACCUUUGUCAGGGGCAUUAGGUGGGCAAGUGCAUCCUACACAGGAGAAAAGCAUGGACCGAAGGCCUGGAUUAUGCAGGUCCAUCACAGCAUUUAUGGAAUCCCAGAAUGUCUGAUCUGAAAGGGAUAUUGGAGCUUGUUUGGCAUGUUGCUCCUUUAGCAGAAGAGGAAACCAAGACCCACCCAGGACAAAUCGGCUCUAUCACAAGUUGUAGCUUAAGAGCGAAGUAGAGGCUUUUGUCCAGGAUAGUGGCUGAUGGGUAGUGAUUGGACAGCAGGCAGAGUGGGGCAUUGGAAGCAUGGUGGCUUUGCUCAGUAUGGGUCUGGGCGAGCACAGCAGCAGACACUGAGGGUGGGUUUCUUAAAGAGAUCCAGGAGAGGGAGAGAUCCAGGAGGAUGGUGCUAUUGAUUUAGCCAACUGAGGAGAACUUACCCAGUAACUCCCACCCAUGGGUGCUAAUGUUUAUGGACCUAUAUUUUAACCCACUUGUAGCAGAAGCCUGAAACAUUCAGCUUAUAUCACUGUUUAUUCAUCAGUUCAACAAACAUGUAGUUGUCUUUACCCCAGGCACUGGGCUGGGCACUAGAAAUAUACUCCACCAGAGUUCCCUUAUGGCUCAGUGGGUUAAGGAUCUGGGGUUGCCACUGCUGCAGCUCCGGUAGCUGCUGAGGCUCAUAUUCAGUCCCUGGCCUGGGAACUUCCGCAUGCUGUGGGCACGUAUGUGAAAACAAAAAAACGAGAUGCUGACUCUGUCAUUAUCUGUCUCUGGGACCUUCUUUGUGACUCAUUGUUUUUAAUCUGUCAAAAAGGGAAGCAGUGCGUUUAUAUAGCUUCUCAAAGUUACUGUGAUGACUUGUUUAUUGAUUAAAUCAAACAAUGUAUUGACAGUUCUUAGAAAAGCAUAAAGUACUAUAAAGUGUAAUUCUUUUUAUUAUUUAUUUAUUUUUUUGGUCUUUUUGUCUCUUUAGGGCUGCACCAGAGGCAUACGGAGGUUCUCAGGCUAGGGAUCCUAACGGGAGCUGUAGCCGCCGGCCUAUGCUAGAGCCACAGCAACAUGGGCUCCAAGCCGCAUCUGCGACCUACACCACAGCUCAUGGCGAUGCUGGAUCCUUAACCUGCUGAGCAAGGCCAGGGAUCGAACCUGCGUCCUCAUGGAUGCUAGUCAGGUUUGUUAACUGCUGAGCCACGACGGAAACUCCUAAAGUAUAAUUCUUGUUAAUGUCUGACAUAACACAUAGUAGACAAUAUAGUACAAUGAUCGAUUACCUGUGUUUUGGUGAACUGUCACCUAACCCCCACCACGGCUCCCCUAUCCCACUGUCUUCUUAAGAAGUAGAUUCAUACUUUUAAAAGGAUGAGGUGGGGAAAAAUAUUUGUAUUGACUUCUUAUUGCUGCCAUGACAAAUUACCAUAAACUUGGUGACUUUAAAACAACACAGAUCAAUCAUCCUGCAAUUCUGGAGGUCAGAUGUCUAAAAGUGGGUCUCAUUGGGCUGAAAUCAAGGUGUCAGCAUAGCCAUGUUCCAUUCUGGAGGUUCAGUGGGAGAAGCCAUUGGCUUGCCUUUUUCCUCAUCUAGAGGCUGCCUGCCUUCCUUUUCUCACGGUCCUCCUCGUCCGUCUUCAGAGUUAGUGGUGUUGGAUCUCUUGGCCUUUCUCCCCUAACUCUCUUCUUCCCUCCACUCUUAAGGACCCUUGUGAUUGCAUUAGACCCACCCGGAUAAUCCGGGAUAAUCUCCCUAUUUCAAGGUCAGUCAAUUAGCAGCUUUAUUUCCCCUUUGCCAUGUAACCUGUUCUGGAGAUUAGGAUGUGAACAUCUGUUGGGGGAUAGUAUUCUGCCUACUGGUAUGACAUAUUCUGUAAAUUUUUUUUAAAUCUGGAAACAACUUUGGCAAAAGUGAAAAUAGAAAAUCAAAAUUCCUCCUAACUUGUUGGUAAUGAGGGCUUCCAAUACUUCUAGAUAAUUCCUGGCAAUAUUCUUUUUCAUGGGAAACCAGCAACACCUAGUGUCUCUUCAAAUACAUUUCAACCAAAAACAAAGUGUCCUGUAAUUAAAGUGGUAGAAUAGAAAGUGCAGCUCACUGCACUGAUGACGGAAAAAGGAAAUUCUCACUAAUAGAGGGAGAAGCUGGUCGUUCUCUCUUCUAUGCGUCCUUUGGACUGUGUGAGCCCCGACACCCAUGCAUCCAUCUAGAAGUAUUUAAAUUAAUUCUCUUUGGGGCAUGUCACCAUACUGGGCUCUGUGAUUGAGGCAGGAAAAUAAGAACAGGAUCCUUAUCCUCAAAUUGCACCCAGUCUUAUUGGGCAGACAAAACCCACCCUGGUCAUGAAAGCAUAUAUACCCAUUUACAAAAUAUUGAAGACCUAAUGGCCAAGUGUACCAGUUAUAUACUUAGGCUCAGUUGUACAUACAUCAACCCCCCCAAAGAACACUGGCUUAAACAGAGAGGUUUAUUUAUUGCUCUUGUGAAAGAAUUGGUACAGCCGUGGUUGGGCAGUUCUUAAGUCUACUCCUAGGUGUAUACAAGAGAAUCGAAAACAUAGUUCUGUAGAAAAACUUGUGCAGUAAUGUUCAUGAUAGCAUACUUCAUAAUAAAAAGUAGAAACAACAUGAAUGUCCAUCAGCAGAUAAAUGGAUAGACAAAAUGUGCUAUAUCCACACAAUGGAAUUAUUCAGUCAUAAAAAUGAAUGAAGUACUGAAAAGCAUGGAAGAACCUGGAAAAUAUUAAGAAAUAAGCCAGAUACAAAAAGCCACAUAUUGUAUGAUUCUUUUUAUUUGCCAGAAUAGGUAAGUCCAUAGACAGAAAGCAGAUUAGUGGUUGCCAGGACAUGGGGAGGAAAGGGUGGGAGUGACUGUUAAGGGGUACAGUGUUUAUUUAGGGGGUGAUAGAAAUGUUCUGGAAUUACAUAGCGGUGAUAAUUAAACAACUUUGCCAACAUACUGAAAACCCUAAAGACCACUUCUACACUUUAAACGGGUGAAUUGUUCUGUCUGUUUUGUCUCAGUAAAGUUACUGAAAAAAUACUAGGUGGGUCGGAUUUCCCAUUGUGGUACAGCAGAAACGAAUCCAACUAGUAUCCAUGAGGAUACAGCUUCCAUCCCUGGCCUUGCUCAGUGGGUUGAGGAUCCAGUGUUGUUGUGAGCUGUAGUGCAGGUUGCAGACACGGCUUGGAUCCUGCAUUGCUGUCGAUGUGGCAUAGGCGGGCAGGUGUAGGUCUAUUUUGACCCCUAAUCUGGGAACUUCCAGAUGCUGUGGGUGUGGACCUAUAUAAAAAAAAAAAAGAUGAAAAAAGUGCUUCCUAUUAGUACCUAUUACUUUCUGUUUUUUUCCCUCCUUUGCCCCAGUUCCUUCUCCAGGGCUCAGAGUGGUUACCUCUUUCUUUGCCAUGUAUUAGCUCUCCUUCCUCUCCCCUCCCCUACUAGAAUCAGCAGGAUGUUCACUGCAUGAGCCUGACCUGGCCCCUGCUCCACAUAAGGAGCCAGAUGACUGUUCUGCUCCCUAUGGAGAUUCAGUGGAGAAUGUGCUGAUGGGAAGAGGAUGGAAUAGAAUCCCCGCCCCUGCUUCCUGAAGGUGUCUGCACAUGACAGGUGCCUCUGGUUCUGGGGAACAAAUGUCUUUAUGGUUCCCUGGCCCUGAGGGCACAGGCGAGGGGCUCUGUGAGCUGGCUACAUCCCUGUGGCCCACCACACAGUCUACCCAUCUGGAGGAUGAGGAAUCUUGGGCUCGAACACUAGAAGCUGCCUGUGCCCUUGCUCCCCAUGGGAGAUGGGAACGAGCAGUGCCUGUCUCUGCCCGCUGGCUGGCCUUGCUCGGAACCCUCAGGCUGCUCACUCUCCCUCCUCUUCCACCGAGAGAGCAGUUCCUCAUAACAUGUACUCUGAUUAUUUCCAUCACAGCUGUGUGGCUUUAUUCAUUAACAUUUUUUUACAUUAAAAAAUUGUUAUCGUUGAUGUACAGUGCUGUGCCAAUAUCUCAUGUACAUCAGGGUGACCCAGUCAUUCAUACAUACACAGAUUCUUCUUCUCAUAUCAUCCCCCAUCAUGUAUCCAAGAGACUGGACACAGCUCCCUGUGCUAUACAGCAGAACCUCAUUGCCUGUCCUUUCUAAAUGUGAUAGUUUGCCUCGACUGACCACAAACUCUCCGUCCAUCCCACUCCUUCUCCCACCCCUUGCCAACCACACAUCUGUUCUCUAUGUGAAUCUGUUUCUGUUCUGUAGAUAGGUUCAUUUGUGCCUAUUAGAUUCCACAUAUAUGUGAUAUCCUAAGGUAUUUGUCAGAGUUCCCGUUGUGGUACAUUGGAAAUGAAUCCAACUAGGAACCAUGAGGUUGCAGGUUCAAUCCCUGGCCUCGCUCAGUGGGUUAAGGAUCUGGUGUUGGCAUGAGCUGUGGUGUAGGUCAGAUGCAUGGCUCAGAUCUGGCAUUGCUGUGGCUGAGGCGUAGACUGGCAGCUGUAGCUCCAAUUAGACCCCUAGCCUGGGAACCUCCAUAUGCCAUG